UAUUGGGGCGUAAGCGCGCGCAGGUGGUUUCUUAAGUCUGAUGUGAAAGCCCACGGCUCAACCGUGGAGGGUCAUUGGAAACUGGGAGACUUGAGUGCAGAAGAGGAAAGUGGAAUUCCAUGUGUAGCGGUGAAAUGCGUAGAGAUAUGGAGGAACACCAGUGGCGAAGGCGACUUUCUGGUCUGUAACUGACACUGAGGCGCGAAAGCGUGGGGAGCAAACAGGAUUAGAUACCCUGGUAGUCCACGCCGUAAACGAUGAGUGCUAAGUGUUAGAGGGUUUCCGCCCUUUAGUGCUGAAGUUAACGCAUUAAGCACUCCGCCUGGGGAGUACGGCCGCAAGGCUGAAACUCAAAGGAAUUGACGGGGGCCCGCACAAGCGGUGGAGCAUGUGGUUUAAUUCGAAUCAACGCGAAGAACCUUACCAGGUCUUGACAUCCUCUGAAAACCCUAGAGAUAGGGCUUCUCCUUCGGGAGCAGAGUGACAGGUGGUGCAUGGUUGUCGUCAGCUCGUGUCGUGAGAUGUUGGGUUAAGUCCCGCAACGAGCGCAACCCUUGAUCUUAGUUGCCAUCAUUAAGUUGGGCACUCUAAGGUGACUGCCGGUGACAAACCGGAGGAAGGUGGGGAUGACGUCAAAUCAUCAUGCCCCUUAUGACCUGGGCUACACACGUGCUACAAUGGACG
rnacentral:rRNA from 1 species